CCGUUCAAUACUGCGGAGCUCGAGGGCAGAAGAGGGGGGUGGAAUUGCUGGUGUAGCGGUGAAAUGCGUAGAUAUCAGCAGGAACACCUGUGGCGAAAGCGGCCCCCUGGUCUGCUCCUGACACUCAGACGCGAAAGCUAGGGGAGUGAACGGGAUUAGAAACCCCGGUAAUCCUAGCCGUAAACGAUGGAUGCUAGGUGUGGGUGGUAUUGACCCCAUCCGUGCCGAAGCCAACGCGUUAAGCAUCCCGCCUGGGGACUACGGCCGCAAGGUUAAAACUCAAAGGAAUUGACGGGGACCCGCACAAGCAGCGGAGCGUGUGGUUUAAUUCGAUGCUACACGAAGAACCUUACCCAGGUUUGACAUGCAGGUAGUAGUGAAGCGAAAGCGGAACGAUCCUUCGGGAAGCCUGCACAGGUGCUGCAUGGCUGUCGUCAGCUCGUGCCGUGAGGUGUUUGGUUAAGUCCACUAACGAGCGCAACCCCUGUCGUCAGUUACAUGUGUCUGGCGAGACUGCCGGUCUUAAACCGGAGGAAGGUGGGGAUGACGUCAAGUCAGCAUGGCCUUUAUAUCUGGG
rnacentral:rRNA from 1 species